rnacentral:rRNA from 1 species
UACCAGCACCCCGAGUGGUCGGGACGUUUUAUUGGGCCUAAAGCAUCCGUAGCCGGUUCUACAAGUCUUCCGUUAAAUCCACCUGCUCAACAGAUGGGCUGCGGAAGAUACUAUGGAGCUAGGAGGCGGGAGAGGCAAGCGGUACUCGAUGGGUAGGGGUAAAAUCCGUUGAUCCAUUGAAGACCACCAGUGGCGAAGGCGGCUUGCCAGAACGCGCUCGACGGUGAGGGAUGAAAAGCUGGGGGGAGCAAACCGG